rnacentral:rRNA from 1 species
UACGAGGGGGGCAAGCGUUGUUCGGAUUUAUUGGGCGUAAAGGGUGCGUAGGCGGUUUGGCAAGUCUUGUGUGAAAUCUUUGGGCUCAACCCAAAGUCUGCACAAGAAACUGCCGGGCUUGAGUAUGGGAGAGGUGAGUGGAAUUUCCGGUGUAGCGGUGAAAUGCGUUGAUAUCGUUUGGAACACCAAUAGCGUAGGCAGGCUUCUGGGUGCCACUUGACACUGCUAGGACGAAAGCGUGGGGAGCGAAUGGG